GACGAACGCUGGCGGCGUGCUUAACACAUGCAAGUCGAACGAUGAAGAAAAGAAUUGAAGCUUCGGCAGAAAUUCAUUUCGGAUUAGUGGCAGACGGGUGAGUAACGCGUGAGCAACCUACCUCUUACAAAGGGAUGGCCUCGGGAAACCGGGAUUAAUACCAUAUAACAUUGCGACGAAGCAUUUCGAUGCAAUCAAAGCUACGGCGGUAAGAGAUGGGCUCGCGUCCCAUUAACCAGAUGGUGAGGUAACGGCUCACCAUAGUAACGAUGGGUAACCGGCCUGAGAGGGUGAACGGUCACACUGGAACUGAGACACGGUCCAGACUCCUACGGGAGGCAGCAGUGGGGAAUAUUGCACAAUGGAGGGAACUCUGAUGCAGCGACGCCGCGUGAGUGAUGAAGGAAUUCGUUUCGUAAAACUCUGUUCUAUGGGAAGAAAAGGACUGUACCAUAGGAGAAAGCUCCGGCUAAAUACGUG
rnacentral:rRNA from 1 species